rnacentral:rRNA from 1 species
UACGGAGGGUGCGAGCGUUGUCCGGAAUCACUGGGCGUAAAGGGCGCGUAGGCGGCGGGGUAAGCGUGCGGUGAAAGCUCGGGGCUCAACCCCGAGUCGGCCGUGCGAACUGCCCUGCUUGAGCACUGUAGAGGCAGGUGAAUUCCGGGUGUAGCGGUGGAAUGCGUAGAGAUCCGGAAGAACACCGAUGUGGCAGGAGGCGAGCCCCUGGCCUGGACAUGG